GGGGCCGACAGGUUUUGACAGCGAGGAGGAUGAAUUUGUAAGCAUGCCGUGAGUUGGGAAAGUAUCACGUAAAUAACAAUUCUCAAAUUCUAAAUGGCGACUAUAACUUCGCUAUGGCUGCUUAAUUGACUAAGUCAAUAUAAGUGCCUGCUUCCCGGAAAGCUUUUUCUUUUCAGCGUUCCGGAUCAAGCAUCGCAAAUGAAAAGAUAGUUGUGAAAAGCUUCGGGUCACAGCGAAACUAAAACCCGUAGGAUAAUAUCCAACGGGUUAAAGAAGCUAAGUUUGAAGUUGGCCGCUGCCUUGCCUGCUUCAUUCCGAAAAUCAAGAGGUAGCUAAGCGUGUAGAAAGCAUUUUUGUCCCUUGUUUGGACGGGAGUUCAAAUCUCCCCGGCUCCACUC
rnacentral:tmRNA from 1 species